UCGUAUAAUGCAUCAUUUUGAGAUCUAACUCAUCAUUUUAGCUCUAUGCCUCAACUGCAAUGUCAAAAGUAGAUUUACACCUUUAUAAUAAGGAUUAAAAUCGUAAUUUUGACAUAAAAUUUGAAUUU